ACAGAGGUUAAUGCAUACGACCCAGUAUGUGCUACAGUACAGAGGUUAAUGCUUACGACCCAGUAUGUGCUACAGUACAGAGGUUAAUGCUUACGACCCAGUAUGUGCUACAGUACAGAGGUUAAUGCUUACGACCCAGUAUGUGCUACAGUACAGAGGUUAAUGCAUACGACCCAGUAUGUACUACAGUACAGAGGUUAAUGCAUACGACCCAGUAUGUGCUACAGUACAGAGGUUAAUGCAUACGACCCAGUAUGUGCUACAGUACAGAGGUUAAUGCUUACGACCCAGUAUGUGCUACAGUACAGAGGUUAAUGCAUACGACCCAGUAUGUGCUACAGUACAGAGGUUAAUGCAUACGACCCAGUAUGCGGCGCAUUCGAAAAGUAUUCAGACCCCUUCCCCUUUUCCACAUUUUGUUACGUUACAGCCUUGUUCUAAAAUUUAUUAAAUCAACUUGUUUUUCUCAUAAAUCUACACACAAUACCCCAUAAUGUCAAAGCGAUUAAAAAAAAAAAAAAAUUAAACAUUUUUGAAAAUGUAUUAAUAUAAAAAAAAACAUAAAUACCUUAAUUAUAUAAGUAUUCAGAUUCGCUAUGAGACUAAAAAUUGAUAUCAGGUGCAUCUUGUUUCCAUUGAAACAAGUUUCUACAACCUGGAGUCCACCUGUGAUAAAUUAAAUCGAUUGGACAUGAUUUGGAAAGGCACACACCUGUCUAUAUAAGGUCCCACAGUUGACAGUACAUGUCAGAGCAAAAACCA
ensembl:lncRNA